CAAGGAAGUUGACGGGGAGCACCACAACGGUGGAGCUUGCGGUUUAAUUGGAUUCAACGCCGGAAAUCUUACCGGGACCGACAGCAAUAUGAAGGCCAGGCUGAAGACUUUGCCGGAUUAGCUGAGAGGUGGUGCAUGGCCGUCGUCAGUUCGUACUGUGAAGCAUCCUGUUAAGUCAGGCAACGAGCGAGACCCACGCCCACAGUUGCCAGCGUACUCUCUGGAGUGACGGGUACACUGUGGGACCGCCGCUGCUAAAGCGGAGGAAGGAAUGGGCAACGGUAGGUCAGUAUGCCCCGAAUAUCCCGGGCUACACGCGAGCUACAAUGGUUGGUACAAUGGGUAUCUACCCCGAAAGGGGACGGGAAUCUCCUAAAACCAAUCUUAGUUCGGAUUGAGGGCUGCAACUCGCCCUCAUGAAGCUGGAAUCCGUAGUAAUCGCGUUUCAACAGAACGCGGUGAAUACGUCCCUGCUCCUU
rnacentral:rRNA from 1 species